UACGAAGGGGGCUAGCGUUGCUCGGAAUUACUGGGCGUAAAGCGCACGUAGGCGGCUUCUUAAGUCGGUGGUGAAAUCCUGGAGCUCAACUCCAGAACUGCCUUCGAUACUGAGAAGCUCGAGUCCGGGAGAGGUGGAGUGGAAACUGCGAGUGUAGAGGUGAAAUUCGUAGAUAUUCGCAAGAACACCAGUGGCGAAGGCGGCUCACUGGCCC
rnacentral:rRNA from 1 species